rnacentral:rRNA from 1 species
ACCGGCGGCCCGAGUGGUGAUCGUGAUUAUUGGGUCUAAAGGGUCCGUAGCCGGUUUGGUCAGUCCUCCGGGAAAUCUGAUAGCUCAACUAUUAGGCUUUCGGGGGAUACUGCCAGACUUGGAACCGGGAGAGGUAAGAGGUACUACAGGGGUAGGAGUGAAAUCUUGUAAUCCCUGUGGGACCACCUGUGGCGAAGGCGUCUUACCAGAACGGGUUCGACGGUGAGGGACGAAAGCUGGGGGCACGAACCGGAUUAGAUACCCGGGUAGUCCCAGCCGUAACGAUGCUCGCUAGGUGUCAGGCAUGGCGCGACCGUGUCUGGUGCCGCAGGGAAGCCGUGAAGCGAGCCACCUGGGAAGUACGGCCGCAAGGCUGAAACUUAAAGGAAUUGGCGGGGGAGCACAACAACGGGUGGAAGCCUGCGGUUUAAUUGGACUCAACGCCGGACAACUCACCGGGGGCGACAGCAAUAUGUAGGCCAAGCUGAAGACUUUGCCUGAAUCGCUGAGGGGAGGUGCAUGG